UACAGGGGGUGCAAACGUUGCUCGGAAUUAUUGGGCGUAAAGCGCGCGUAGGCGGUCUUGUAAGUCGGAUGUGAAAGCCCUUGGCUUAACCGAGGAAGUGCAUCCGAAACUGCAAGGCUUGAGUACGAAAGAGGAUCGCGGAAUUCCCGGUGUAGAGGUGAAAUUCGUAGAUAACGGGAGGAACACCGGCGGCGAAGGCGGCGAUCUGGGUCGAGACUGACGCUGAGGCGCGAAAGCGUGGGGAGCAAACAGG
rnacentral:rRNA from 1 species